CAAACGCUUUCUCCCUAAUUCGCUUUUAUCAAUGUCGCACCGAUAAAUUUCAAUUACUCUUGGUGCUGCUUACUAUCUUCUCGGAGAUUUGCACCAGGCCCUGGAGGCCCUCCGGCCUAGUCCAAAAGCAACGACGCCGUGAACAUUGAGACCCGAUCUGGCACACCACAGGUAUUGAUCCCCUGGUGCAGGUGAACUUCCCCCUCAAGCUCGGCUAGAGAUCUCCACACAGCACCUGAGAUGGAUGUGACCUGCCAAGAUGCCAAUGGACCUGCUGACUGCAAGACACCAGGAAGCAAGACUCCACCCUUGAAACCUUAUCCUUGCCUUUGAUGUCCCCUGACAUAAAUAAAGCAAGUGGGGGCUCCAUUUUGCCAGAGUAUAGAAGUUCCAUCCGUGUGAUCAACCCGUCUUGCUCCCUCUUUUGAAACUA